rnacentral:rRNA from 1 species
GACGAACGCUGGCGGCGUGCUUAACACAUGCAAGUCGAACGGAAAGGCCCAGCUUGCUGGGUGCUCGAGUGGCGAACGGGUGAGUAACACGUGGGUGAUCUGCCCCUAACUUCGGGAUAAGCUUGGGAAACUGGGUCUAAUACCGGAUAGGACAAUCGUUUAGUGUCGGUUGUGGAAAGUUUUUUCGGUUAGGGAUGAGCCCGCGGCCUAUCAGCUUGUUGGUGGGGUAAUGGCCUACCAAGGCGUCGACGGGUAGCCGGCCUGAGAGGGUGGACGGCCACAUUGGGACUGAGAGACGGCCCAGACGCCUACGGGAGGCAGCAGUGGGGAAUAUUGCACAAUGGGCGCAAGCCUGAUGCAGCGACGCCGCGUGGGGGAUGACGGCCUUCGGGUUGUAAACCUCUUUCGACAGGGACGAAGCUUUGGUGACGGUACCUGUAUAAGAAGCACCGGCUAACUACGUG